UUUACAACUCCCAAACGCCCUGUGAACAUACCAUAUUGUUGCCUCGGCGGUGUCUGUUUCGGCAGCCCGCCAGAGGACCCAAACCCUAGAUUACAUUAAAGCAUUUUCUGAGUCAAUGAUUAAAUCAAUCAAAACUUUCAACAACGGAUCUCUUGGUUCUGGCAUCGAUGAAGAACGCAGCGAAAUGCGAUAAGUAAUGUGAAUUGCAGAAUUCAGUGAAUCAUCGAAUCUUUGAACGCACAUUGCGCCCGCCAGUAUUCUGGCGGGCAUGCCUGUCCGAGCGUCAUUUCAACCCUCAAGCCCCCGGGCUUGGUGUUGGAGAUCGGCGAGCCCCCCGGGGCGCGCCGUCUCCCAAAUAUAGUGGCGGUCCCGCUGUAGCUUCCUCUGCGUAGUAGCACACCUCGCACUGGGAAACAGCGUGGCCACGCCGUAAAACCCCCCACUUCUGAAAGGUUGACCUCGGAUCAGGUAGGAAUACCCGCUGAACUUAAGCAUAUCAAUAAGCGGAGGAAAAGAAACCAACAGGGAUUGCCCUAGUAACGGCGAGUGAAGCGGCAACAGCUCAAAUUUGAAAUCUGGCCUUCGGGUCCGAGUUGUAAUUUGUAGAGGAUGCUUUUGGUGAGGUACCUUCCGAGUUCCCUGGAACGGGACGCCAUAGAGGGUGAGAGCCCCGUCUGGUUGGAUACCGAUCCUCUGUAAAGCUCCUUCGACGAGUCGAGUAGUUUGGGAAUGCUGCUCUAAAUGGGAGGUAUAUGUCUUCUAAAGCUAAAUAUUGGCCAGAGACCGAUAGCGCACAAGUAGAGUGAUCGAAAGAUGAAAAGCACUUUGAAAAGAGAGUUAAAAAGUACGUGAAAUUG
rnacentral:rRNA from 1 species